AGUGAACGCUGGCGGUAUGCCUAACACAUGCAAGUCGAACGGCAGCACAGUAAGAGCUUGCUCGUACGGGAGGUGAGUGGCGUACGGGUGAGGAGUACAUCGGAAUCUACUUUUUCGUGGGGGUUCACGUAGGGAAACUUACGCAAAUACCGCAUACGACCUACGGGUGAAAGUAGUGGAACUUUGGAUCUUGCGCGGAUGAAUGGGCCAAUGUCGGAUUAGCUAGUUAGGGGGGUAAUGGCCCACCAAGGGCCCGAUCCGUAGCUGGUCUGAGAGGAUGAUAGGACAAACUGGAACUGAGACAGGGUCCCGAAUCUUGGGGGAGGCAGCAGUGGGGAAUACUGGACAAUGGGAGCAAGCCUGAUCCAGCCAUACCGCGUGGGUGAAGAAGGCCUUCGGGUUGUAAAAUCUUUUUGUUGGGAAAGAUAAGCAGCAGUUUAAUACCCCGAUGUACUGACGGUACCCAACGAAUAAGCACCGGCUAACUUCGUG
rnacentral:rRNA from 1 species